AUGUAUUUUGGUGUGUCACUCUGUCUCUUUAAGGGAAGAGAAAAGCACUUUAAAGCUUUUAAACCUAGAGAGGGGAAAUCCAUUCUCUGUUCUCCUGUCUGUUCCCUCACACCCCAUGGCGAUAAUUUAGUGGGAAGGGUAGUACAUGGCCCUACCAUUAAAAGGGGCGUGUAUAUGUGUGUGUGUGUGUGUGUUUGUGCGGAUGGGCUACGUCACACUUCUAUUGUUGCUCAGCAGUAAUUGCAGCAGGAUUUAUCCACCCAGCCAGUUUCAGGCUAUUUGUGCAUGAGCAAACCGAAUUCUGAGCAGUUCCUGGUUAUUCUUUAGCCGCUAGCUCCUGAUGCAGUCAACACUAACUCACCUUCUCUCUGCCAGGCUUAGCUGUGAAUAGAAAGAGCAAUAUAGCACUCAAAAUGGUGGCAAUGGAAACAUUUCAAUGGCUCUUUCUCAGGGCACAAGUUGCAUGCUUCUAGGUAGUAAUGAAUGGUGUCUGCUAAUGUGGUAGCACAGUCGCUGUGUAACAAUAUGUGUAACAUUAACAUUUAAAAACUUCACUUUUAAAGGAACAGUACCUCCCACAGUUACAAUUCUGUUGUCAUGUCAUUGCAUUCAUUUUUAAUAGUAUCUCCAUACAAUGGCUAUUCAUAAUGAUGUAACAUGAAAAAUUGUGCACAGAACAUCCUAUCUAUCCUAUAUUAUUUUGGCGAAGCAACACAAUGUAUGUCGGAGCAGAGAAAACAUGAUUGCUUUAUCAUUUUGAACAUGUGGAUCCUGUUUCUAAAACUGCAAAGAUUUAUGCCUAUUUUUGACAAAUCAGUAACAGGGAUUGAUUGACUCUACAGUAAUCAUGGGCAACAGUAAUCCAGUCUCCGGUCAUGAUAAUUACCUAUGGAUUUUCUAAAUUGAAUUUCAAAAGGCUAUCAUAAUGAGAAAGAUGGCAAGCAGAAGGACACCAUGAGAUUAUACGUGAAGUAGUUUUUUUUUUCUUUUUCUUUUUUCAUAAUUGUGUUCUAGUAUCCUAUUGCUUUGAAGUGCCUUUUAUGUGAGUUCAUACCAAUAAAUAGGAAUUUUACUAAAAUUGAAUUUCAAAAAGGCUAUCAUAAUGAGAAAGAUGGCAAGCAGAAGGACACCAUGAGAUUAUACGUGAAGUAGUUUUUUUUUCUUUUUCUUUUUUCAUAAUUGUGUUCUAGUAUCCAUUGCUUUGAAGUGCCUUCAUGUGAGUUCAUACCAAUAAUCCAUUAUAUUUAUGUAAGACACACAUGAAUAUCCCAUGGCACAUAAUG
rnacentral:lncRNA from 1 species